CCCUUAGAUGUUCUGGGCCGCACGCGCGCUACACUGAUGCAUUCAACGAGUCUAAAACCUGGUCUGAUAGGGCUGGGUAAUCUUUUGAAUGUGCAUCGUGAUUGGGAUAGAUGAUUGCAAUUCUUCAUCUUCAACGAGGAAUGCCUAGUAAACGCAAGUCAUCAGCUUGCAUUGAUUACGUCCCUGCCCUUUGUACACACCGCCCGUCGCUCCUACCGAUUGAAUGUUCCGAUGAAUACCAUGGACUGAGAGUAUGAAUGGGUUCGCCUAUUUCUGCUUCUCGGGAAGUGGAGUAAAACUUAACAUUUAGAGGAAGGAGAAGUCGUAACA
rnacentral:rRNA from 1 species